UACGAAGGGGGCUAGCGUUGCUCGGAAUUACUGGGCGUAAAGGGCGCGUAGGCGGAUAUUUAAGUCGGGGGUGAAAGCCCAGGGCUCAACCCUGGAAUAGCCUUCGAUACUGGAUAUCUUGAGUUCGGGAGAGGUGAGUGGAACUCCGAGUGUAGAGGUGAAAUUCGUAGAUAUUCGCAAGAACACCAGUGGCGAAGGCGGCUCACUGGCCCGAUACUGACGCUGAUGCACGAAAGCGUGGGGAGCAAACAGG
rnacentral:rRNA from 1 species